rnacentral:tRNA from 1 species
CAGGGUAUAGCUUAGUUGGUAAAGCGCACGGCUGGGGGUCGUGAGAUCGCAAGUUCAAGUCUUGUUACCCUGACCA